GGUUAAGCGACUAAGCGUACACGGUGGAUGCCCUGGCAGUCAGAGGCGAUGAAGGACGUGCUAAUCUGCGAUAAGCGUCGGUAAGGUGAUAUGAACCGUUAUAACCGGCGAUUUCCGAAUGGGGAAACCCAGUGUGAUUCGUCACACUAUCAUUAACUGAAUCCAUAGGUUAAUGAGGCGAACCGGGGGAACUGAAACAUCUAAGUACCCCGAGGAAAAGAAAUCAACCGAGAUUCCCCCAGUAGCGGCGAGCGAACGGGGAGGAGCCCAGAGCCUGAAUCAGUGUGUGUGUUAGUGGAAGCGUCUGGAAAGGCGCGCGAUACAGGGUGACAGCCCCGUACACAAAAAUGCACAUGCUGUGAGCUCGAUGAGUAGGGCGGGACACGUGGUAUCCUGUCUGAAUAUGGGGGGACCAUCCUCCAAGGCUAAAUACUCCUGACUGACCGAUAGUGAACCAGUACCGUGAGGGAAAGGCGAAAAGAACCCCGGCGAGGGGAGUGAAAAAGAACCUGAAACCGUGUACGUACAAGCAGUGGGAGCCUCUUUAUGGGGUGACUGCGUACCUUUUGUAUAAUGGGUCAGCGACUUAUAUUCUGUAGCAAGGUUAACCGAAUAGGGGAGCCGAAGGGAAACCGAGUCUUAACUGGGCGUUAAGUUGCAGGGUAUAGACCCGAAACCCGGUGAUCUAGCCAUGGGCAGGUUGAAGGUUGGGUAACACUAACUGGAGGACCGAACCGACUAAUGUUGAAAAAUUAGCGGAUGACUUGUGGCUGGGGGUGAAAGGCCAAUCAAACCGGGAGAUAGCUGGUUCUCCCCGAAAGCUAUUUAGGUAGCGCCUCGUGAAUUCAUCUCCGGGGGUAGAGCACUGUUUCGGCAAGGGGGUCAUCCCGACUUACCAACCCGAUGCAAACUGCGAAUACCGGAGAAUGUUAUCACGGGAGACACACGGCGGGUGCUAACGUCCGUCGUGAAGAGGGAAACAACCCAGACCGCCAGCUAAGGUCCCAAAGUCAUGGUUAAGUGGGAAACGAUGUGGGAAGGCCCAGACAGCCAGGAUGUUGGCUUAGAAGCAGCCAUCAUUUAAAGAAAGCGUAAUAGCUCACUGGUCGAGUCGGCCUGCGCGGAAGAUGUAACGGGGCUAAACCAUGCACCGAAGCUGCGGCAGCGACGCUUAUGCGUUGUUGGGUA
rnacentral:rRNA from 1 species